UCAAGCUAAUAAGAGCACAGGGUGGAUGCCCAGGCACCAAACGCCGAUGAAAGACGUGGCAAGCUGCGAAAAGUCACGGGGAACCGCAAGCAGGUAUUGAUCCGUGAACGUCUGAAUGGGGAAACCCGGCGGGUUAACAGCCCGUCACUAUUAACUGAAUCAAUAGGUUAAUAGAGGGAACGCGGGGAACUGAAACAUCUCAGUACCCGUAGGAAGAGAAAAUAAAGAAUGAUUUCCUAAGUAGCGGCGAGCGAACGGGAAAGAGGCCAAACCGAAGGGCUUGCUCUUCGGGGUUGUGGAUCAGCAAUAAGGACGAGAGACCUUAGCAGAAGAGGAUUGGAAAGUCCCGCCAGAGAGGGUAAAAGCCCCUUACGCGAAAAGGUCAAACGACGAGCUGACACCAGAGUACCGCAGGACACGAGAAAUCCGGUGGGAAGCCGGGAGGACCACCUCCCAAGCCUAAAUACGAAUUGGUGACCGAUAGCGCAUAGUACCGUGAGGGAAAGGUGAAAAGAACCCCGGGAGGGGAGUGAAAGAGAACCUGAAACCGUAUGUCUACAAGCAGUCGGAGCGAAAGCGACGGCGUGCCUAUUGAAGAAUGAACCAACGAGUUACGUGCACUAGCGAGGUUAAGUGGAAGACACGGAGCCGAAGCGAAAGCGAGUCUUAAGAGGGCGGAUAGUUAGUGUACGUAGACCCGAAACCGCAGUGAUCUACCCAUGUCCAGGUUGAAGCGCAGGUAAAAUUGCGUGGAGGACCGAACCUGUGAGCGUUGAAAAGCUUUAGGAUGAGAUGUGGGUAGAGGUGAAAUUCCAAUCGAACGCGGAGAUAGCUGGUUCUCCCCGAAAUAGCUUUAGGGCUAGCCUCAAGUAGUAAGUAUAGGCGGUAGAGCACUGAUCGGGCUAGGGGCCAUAAAGGUUACCGAACCCUGUCAAACUCCGAAUGGUUAUACUGUAGAGCUUGGGAGUCAGACUACGAGUGAUAAGAUCCGUGGUCAAAAGGGAAACAGCCCAGACCACCAGCUAAGGUCCCCAAUGUCGUACUAAGUGGAAAAGGAUGUGGGGUCUCUAAAACAACCAGGAUGUUGGCUUAGAAGCAGCCACCAUUUAAAGAGUGCGUAAUAGCUCACUGGUCGAGAGACCCUGCGCCGAAGAUUACCGGGGCUAAAGUACGAAACCGAAGCUGUGGCUACGACGUAAGUCGUGGGGUAGGGGAGCGUUCUGUGAGGGCUGAAGUCGUUCUGUAAGGAACGGUGGACUUCACAGAAGUGAGAAUGUUGGUAUGAGUAGCGAAAAGAAUGGUGAGAAUCCAUUCCACCGAAAGCAUAAGGAUUCCUGGGCAACGAUCGUCGUCCCAGGGUAAGUCGGGACCUAAUCCGAGGCAUGGAGCGUAGGAGAUGGACAACUGGCAGAUAUUCCAGUACCGGUAAUGAUUGUUUGAGCGAUGGAGUGACACAGGAGGGCAGGCAGGCAGGAGAUUGGUUGUUCCUGUACAAGCGUGUAGGAUGGGACGUAGGCAAAUCCGCGUCCUGUGAGUCUGAGGCGUGAUGUGGAGGUUCCGGAAACGGAACUGAAGCUGCUGACCCCACACUGUCGAGAAAAGCUUCUAGUUAGAGAAUUACCGCCCGUACCGUAAACCGACACAGGUAUGCGGGGAGAGAAUCCUAAGGUGCGCGGGAGAACCCUCGUUAAGGAACUCGGCAAAAUGUACCCGUAACUUCGGGAUAAGGGUAGCCGCUGUUGUGAAGUCUGCACAGACGGAGCAUGAGGCGGUCGCAGAGAAGAGGCCCAAGCGACUGUUUACCACAAACACAGGUGCCUGCUAAAGAGAAAUCUGACGUAUAGGUGCUGACACCUGCCCAGUGCCGGAAGGUUAAGGAAGGAUGUCCGGAGCAAUCCAAAGCAUUCGACCGAAGCCCCGGUGAACGGCGGCCGUAACUAUAACGGUCCUAAGGUAGCGAAAUUCCUUGUCGGGUAAG
rnacentral:rRNA from 1 species